CCGUCCACAAUUCCUUGACGCGAGGCGCACGAUAUUUCUUCGUUUCGGCAGCACCGCCCCCAAACGCAAGGAAGGCAGAGCAUAUAAUAGUCGGUCAUCCGUAACGCCCAAACAAGGGAGCGAACAAAGAAGGGCUUUUGGGAUUGGGGUUCCGCCGUCCGUUCCCCCCCCCUCCUCCUCACUCUCUGUUCUUUUGCAAAUAAAUUCGUUCUCUAUUUCACCACCACCACCACCACCACCACCAUCGCCACCACGAGAGAGAGAGAGAGAAAGAGGAACGAUGGCCUGCUCCUCGGCGGCCCCUCACCUCUGCUCUCCUCCGCCCAGAAUUCUGGGNAUCAGGUCAAGUGUAACGCCGUCCACAAUUCCUUGACGCGAGGCGCACGAUAUUUCUUCGUUUCGGCAGCACCGCCCCCAAACGCAAGGAAGGCAGAGAGCAUAUAAUAGUCGGUCAUCCGUAACGCCCAAACAAGGGAACGAACAAAGAAGGGCUUUUGGGAUUGGGGUUCCGCCGUCCGUUCCCCCCCUCCUCACUCUCUCUGUUCUUUUGCAAAUAAAUUCGUUCUCUAUUUCACCACCACCACCACCAUCGCUACCACGAGAGAGAGAGAGAAAGAGGAACGAUGGCCUGCUCCUCGGCGGCCCCUCACCUCUGCUCUCCUCCGCCCAGAAUUCUGGGUUCGGAACAAGGCCGCCGCCAUCGCUCCUCUCGCGCUCCGUCCGUAGCCCUGCCCUCCUCCGCCGCCGCUCUCAGAGGAGCCCCCUCCCCUCUCCGAUCCACCGCUCGCCUCCCCCCCUC
rnacentral:lncRNA from 1 species